rnacentral:rRNA from 1 species
ACGAACUCUGGUAUUGAUUGGUGCUUACAUCAUGAUUUACAUUUGCGUGAGUGGCGAACUGGUGAGUAACACGUGGGAAACCUGCCCAGAAGCGGGGGAUAACACCUGGAAACAGAUGCUAAUACCGCAUAACAACUUGGACCGCAUGGUCCGAGCUUGAAAGAUGGCUUCGGCUAUCACUUUUGGAUGGUCCCGCGGCGUAUUAGCUAGAUGGUGGGGUAACGGCUCACCAUGGCAAUGAUACGUAGCCGACCUGAGAGGGUAAUCGGCCACAUUGGGACUGAGACACGGCCCAAACUCCUACGGGAGGCAGCAGUAGGGAAUCUUCCACAAUGGACGAAAGUCUGAUGGAGCAACGCCGCGUGAGUGAAGAAGGGUUUCGGCUCGUAAAACUCUGUUGUUAAAGAAGAACAUAUCUGAGAGUAUCUGUUCAGGUAUUGACGGUAUUUAACCAGAAAGCCACGGCUAACUACGUGCCAGCAGCCGCGGUAAUACGUAGGUGGCAAGCGUUGUCCGGAUUUAUUGGGCGUAAAGCGAGCGCAGGCGGUUUUUUAAGUCUGAUGUGAAAGCCUUCGGCUCAACCGAAGAAGUGCAUCGGAAACUGGGAAACUUGAGUGCAGAAGAGGACAGUGGAACUCCAUGUGUAGCGGUGAAAUGCGUAGAUAUAUGGAAGAACACCAGUGGCGAAGGCGGCUGUCUGGUCUGUAACUGACGCUGAGGCUCGAAAGUAUGGGUAGCAAACAGGAUUAGAUACCCUGGUAGUCCAUACCGUANACGAUGAAUGCUAAGUGUUGGAGGGUUUCCGCCCUUCAGUGCUGCAGCUAACGCAUUAAGCAUUCCGCCU